UGAUUUCUUGGGAGUUGUUGCUGCUGUUAUGGUUGGUUUAGUUGUUGGCUUUGCCGUCAUCUUUGCCAUUGCCAUCCGUUCUUUCAACUUCCAGAGAAGAUAGAUUUACAUUUCCUUUCACUUUUUCUUUAUUUCUGUCAAUUGUUGAACAAUAAGACACCAUUUGAGGGAUUUCUUCUAUUUGUAACUAUCUUGGACGUGUUAAUCUUUACGUUACCGGAUCGAGAGAUCAAUGGCUUAUCUGUCUGUAGUGUACACGAGACUGGUUCCAAGCCAUUUGGCUUGAAACCUGCACAAGAAAUGAACAAAUGUUGCUGCAACCACAACGUUAACAUUCAUAUUUCUGGAAUCAAUUUUGCUUGAUUGGUAGUUUGGCACUUUGGUAUAACAUUCUUCUCUUUUAAUAUUGGAAUGAUUGAUUUGCCGGCUGUUGGGAGAGGUUCGUUGAAGGAUAUUACGAGUUAG
rnacentral:lncRNA from 1 species